CCUACGGGUGGCUGCAGUGAGGAAUAUUGGUCAAUGGACGAGAGUCUGAACCAGCCAAGUAGCGUGAAGGAUGACUGCCCUAUGGGUUGUAAACUUCUUUUAUAUGGGAAUAAAAUGUUCCACGUGUGGGAUUUUGUAUGUACCAUAUGCAUAAGGAUCGGCUAACUCCGUGCCAGCAGCCGCGGUAAUACGGAGGAUCCGAGCGUUAUCCGGAUUUAUUGGGUUUAAAGGGAGAGGAGGUGGAUUGUUAAGGCCGUUGGGAAAGUUUGCGGCUUAACCGUAAGAUUGCAGUUGAAACUGGCAGUCUUGAGUGCAGUAGGGGUGAGCGGAAUGCGUGGUGUAGCGGUGAAAUGCUUAGAUAUCACGAAGAACUCCGAUUGCGAAGGCAGUUCACUGGACUGCAACUGACACUGAGGCUCGAAAGUGUGGGUAUCAAACAGGAUUAGAUACCCUUGUAGUC
rnacentral:rRNA from 1 species